UUAAGCGACUAAGCGUACACGGUGGAUGCCCUGGCAGUCAGAGGCGAUGAAGGACGUGCUAAUCUGCGAUAAGCGUCGGUAAGGUGAUAUGAACCGUUAUAACCGGCGAUUUCCGAAUGGGGAAACCCAGUGUGAUUCGUCACACUAUCAUUAACUGAAUCCAUAGGUUAAUGAGGCGAACCGGGGGAACUGAAACAUCUAAGUACCCCGAGGAAAAGAAAUCAACCGAGAUUCCCCCAGUAGCGGCGAGCGAACGGGGAGCAGCCCAGAGCCUGAAUCAGUGUGUGUGUUAGUGGAAGCGUCUGGAAAGGCGCGCGAUACAGGGUGACAGCCCCGUACACAAAAAUGCACAUGCUGUGAGCUCGAUGAGUAGGGCGGGACACGUGGUAUCCUGUCUGAAUAUGGGGGGACCAUCCUCCAAGGCUAAAUACUCCUGACUGACCGAUAGUGAACCAGUACCGUGAGGGAAAGGCGAAAAGAACCCCGGCGAGGGGAGUGAAAAAGAACCUGAAACCGUGUACGUACAAGCAGUGGGAGCACGCUUAGGCGUGUGACUGCGUACCUUUUGUAUAAUGGGUCAGCGACUUAUAUUCUGUAGCAAGGUUAACCGAAUAGGGGAGCCGAAGGGAAACCGAGUCUUAACUGGGCGUUAAGUUGCAGGGUAUAGACCCGAAACCCGGUGAUCUAGCCAUGGGCAGGUUGAAGGUUGGGUAACACUAACUGGAGGACCGAACCGACUAAUGUUGAAAAAUUAGCGGAUGACUUGUGGCUGGGGGUGAAAGGCCAAUCAAACCGGGAGAUAGCUGGUUCUCCCCGAAAGCUAUUUAGGUAGCGCCUCGUGAAUUCAUCUCCGGGGGUAGAGCACUGUUUCGGCAAGGGGGUCAUCCCGACUUACCAACCCGAUGCAAACUGCGAAUACCGGAGAAUGUUAUCACGGGAGACACACGGCGGGUGCUAACGUCCGUCGUGAAGAGGGAAACAACCCAGACCGCCAGCUAAGGUCCCAAAGUCAUGGUUAAGUGGGAAACGAUGUGGGAAGGCCCAGACAGCCAGGAUGUUGGCUUAGAAGCAGCCAUCAUUUAAAGAAAGCGUAAUAGCUCACUGGUCGAGUCGGCCUGCGCGGAAGAUGUAACGGGGCUAAACCAUGCACCGAAGCUGCGGCAGCGACGCUUAUGCGUUGUUGGGUAGGGGAGCGUUCUGUAAGCCUGUGAAGGUGUGCUGUGAGGCAUGCUGGAGGUAUCAGAAGUGCGAAUGCUGACAUAAGUAACGAUAAAGCGGGUGAAAAGCCCGCUCGCCGGAAGACCAAGGGUUCCUGUCCAACGUUAAUCGGGGCAGGGUGAGUCGACCCCUAAGGCGAGGCCGAAAGGCGUAGUCGAUGGGAAACAGGUUAAUAUUCCUGUACUUGGUGUUACUGCGAAGGGGGGACGGAGAAGGCUAUGUUGGCCGGGCGACGGUUGUCCCGGUUUAAGCGUGUAGGCUGGUUUUCCAGGCAAAUCCGGAAAAUCAAGGCUGAGGCGUGAUGACGAGGCACUACGGUGCUGAAGCAACAAAUGCCCUGCUUCCAGGAAAAGCCUCUAAGCAUCAGGUAACAUCAAAUCGUACCCCAAACCGACACAGGUGGUCAGGUAGAGAAUACCAAGGCGCUUGAGAGAACUCGGGUGAAGGAACUAGGCAAAAUGGUGCCGUAACUUCGGGAGAAGGCACGCUGAUAUGUAGGUGAAGCGACUUGCUCGUGGAGCUGAAAUCAGUCGAAGAUACCAGCUGGCUGCAACUGUUUAUUAAAAACACAGCACUGUGCAAACACGAAAGUGGACGUAUACGGUGUGACGCCUGCCCGGUGCCGGAAGGUUAAUUGAUGGGGUUAGCGCAAGCGAAGCUCUUGAUCGAAGCCCCGGUAAACGGCGGCCGUAACUAUAACGGUCCUAAGGUAGCGAAAUUCCUUGUCGGGUAAGUUCCGACCUGCACGAAUGGCGUAAUGAUGGCCAGGCUGUCUCCACCCGAGACUCAGUGAAAUUGAACUCGCUGUGAAGAUGCAGUGUACCCGCGGCAAGACGGAAAGACCCCGUGAACCUUUACUAUAGCUUGACACUGAACAUUGAGCCUUGAUGUGUAGGAUAGGUGGGAGGCUUAGAAGUGUGGACGCCAGUCUGCAUGGAGCCGACCUUGAAAUACCACCCUUUAAUGUUUGAUGUUCUAACGUUGACCCGUAAUCCGGGUUGCGGACAGUGUCUGGUGGGUAGUUUGACUGGGGCGGUCUCCUCCUAAAGAGUAACGGAGGAGCACGAAGGUUGGCUAAUCCUGGUCGGACAUCAGGAGGUUAGUGCAAUGGCAUAAGCCAGCUUGACUGCGAGCGUGACGGCGCGAGCAGGUGCGAAAGCAGGUCAUAGUGAUCCGGUGGUUCUGAAUGGAAGGGCCAUCGCUCAACGGAUAAAAGGUACUCCGGGGAUAACAGGCUGAUACCGCCCAAGAGUUCAUAUCGACGGCGGUGUUUGGCACCUCGAUGUCGGCUCAUCACAUCCUGGGGCUGAAGUAGGUCCCAAGGGUAUGGCUGUUCGCCAUUUAAAGUGGUACGCGAGCUGGGUUUAGAACGUCGUGAGACAGUUCGGUCCCUAUCUGCCGUGGGCGCUGGAGAACUGAGGGGGGCUGCUCCUAGUACGAGAGGACCGGAGUGGACGCAUCACUGGUGUUCGGGUUGUCAUGCCAAUGGCACUGCCCGGUAGCUAAAUGCGGAAGAGAUAAGUGCUGAAAGCAUCUAAGCACGAAACUUGCCCCGAGAUGAGUUCUCCCUGACUCCUUGAGAGUCCUGAAGGAACGUUGAAGACGACGACGUUGAUAGGCCGGGUGUGUAAGCGCAGCGAUGCGUUGAGCUAACCGGUACUAAUGAACCGUGAGGCUUAACCUU
rnacentral:rRNA from 1 species